rnacentral:rRNA from 1 species
CCUACGGGUGGCAGCAGUGGGGGAUAUUGGACAAUGGGGGAAACCCUGAUCCAGCGACGCCGCGUGAGUGAAGAAGUAUUUCGGUAUGUAAAGCUCUAUCAGCAGGGAAGAAAGAAAUGACGGUACCUGAGUAAGAAGCCCCGGCUAACUACGUGCCAGCAGCCGCGGUAAUACGUAGGGGGCAAGCGUUAUCCGGAAUUACUGGGUGUAAAGGGAGCGUAGACGGUAAUGCAAGUCUGGAGUGAAAGGCGGGGGCUCAACCCCCGGACUGCUCUGGAAACUGUGUAACUGGAGUGCAGGAGAGGUAGGCGGAAUUCCUAGUGUAGCGGUGAAAUGCGUAGAUAUUAGGAGGAACACCAGUGGCGAAGGCGGCCUGCUGGACUGUAACUGACGUUGAGGCUCGAAAGCGUGGGGAGCAAACAGGAUUAGAUACCCGAGUAGUC